GAUGAACGCUGGCGGCGUGCCUAAUACAUGCAAGUCGAGCGAACGGACGAGAAGCUUGCUUCUCUGAUGUUAGCGGCGGACGGGUGAGUAACACGUGGAUAACCUACCUAUAAGACUGGGAUAACUUCGGGAAACCGGAGCUAAUACCGGAUAAUAUUUUGAACCGCAUGGUUCAAAAGUGAAAGACGGUCUUGCUGUCACUUAUAGAUGGAUCCGCGCCGCAUUAGCUAGUUGGUAAGGUAACGGCUUACCAAGGCAACGAUGCAUAGCCGCCCUGAGAGGGUGGUCGGCCACACUGGAACUGAGACACGGUCCAGACUCCUACGGGAGGCAGCAGUAGGGAAUCUUCCGCAAUGGGCGAAAGCCUGACGGAGCAACGCCGCGUGAGUGAUGAAGGUCUUCGGAUCGUAAAACUCUGUUAUUAGGGAAGAACAUAUGUGUAAGUAACUGUGCACAUCUUGACGGUACCUAAUCAGAAAGCCACGGCUAACUACGUG
rnacentral:rRNA from 1 species